rnacentral:sRNA from 1 species
CUGCCGCGUCCGCUGUGCAUCCGGUGCAC